rnacentral:sRNA from 1 species
ACGUCAAGUCAUCAUGGUCCUUACGUCCAGGGCCACACACGUGCUACAAUGGGCGGUACAGAGGGCCUGCGAGGCAAGUGAUGCCGAGCCAAUCCCAGAAAGCCGCCCUCAGUGCGGAUCGGAGGCUGCAACUCGCCUCCGUGAAGCUGGAAUCGCUAGUAAUCGGGGAUCAGCCACGCCCCGGUGAAUACGUUCCCGGGCCUUGUACACACCGCCCGUCACGCCAUGGGAGCUGUGAGCGCCCGAAGUCGGUGCAAUAACCCUCACGGGGAUGAGCCGCCGAAGGCGAGCGCAGUGACUGGGGCGAAGUCGUAACAAGGUAGCCGUAGGGGAACCUGCGGCUGGAUCACCUCCUUAACGGAUUGCGAGUAAGAUCACCGAGCCGCUCACACGGCCGGCCGAUCGGAAAGCUCUUCGAAAGUCGCUUCGUCUCGACACAUUCCUUCCCAAUCUCGAUUGCAGCUGGAACGCGGCGGCCGCCCCAACAGGGCGGCCGCAACGCAUCGCUGUUUGACAACGGAAGUGUGGUAGAUCGUGGGAUACGAAUCGUCACGAGAGACAAUUUCGCGAUUGUCACUCAAGACUUUUGAACGGAUCGCGCGUGCUCUGCUUGCUAUAUACGCGUUAUGUAGUCAAGCGAGCGAAGGCGUGCGGGGGAUACCUAGGCACACAGAGAAUAGAG